rnacentral:rRNA from 1 species
UUGUUAAGUGAACCAGAUUUUUUAUGUGCUAGAGUUCUAAAGGCCAAAUACUUCCCUGAUGAAGACCUCCUCAACUGUAGUCUGAAGAAAGGGCGCUCAUACACAUGGCAGAGUGUGUGGAGUGGUAUUCAAACUUUCAAACGAGGACAUAUUUGGAGAGCAGGCGAUGGUUCUGAAAUUAAUAUCUGGGAAGAUCCAUGGAUACCGAGCAGUCCUACACGGAAAGUUAUGACACCGAGAGGUAACAUUUUGAUUACAAGAGUUUCUAAACUCAUUGAUGCUGAAAAUAGGAUGUGGGAUGAACAAUUAUUAAAUGAUAUAUUUUGGCCUAUUGAUGUGCAACGAAUUAUGAACGUCCCUUUGGCAGUGGGUAUGAUGGAUGAUUUUGUCUCAUGGCACUUUAACAGAAGUGGGAUUUUUUUCUGUUAG